rnacentral:rRNA from 1 species
GACGAACGCUGGCGGCGUGCUUAACACAUGCAAGUCGAACGCUGAACCCGCUUCGGUGGGGGAUGAGUGGAGAACGGGUGCGUAACACGUGGGCAACCUGCCCCCGGCUCUGGGAUAACUCCAAGAAAUUGGGGCUAAUACCGGAUGUGACCGCUGGCCGCAUGGUCUGGUGGUGGAAAGGGUUUCCGGCUGGGGAUGGGCCCGCGGCCUAUCAGCUUGUUGGUGGGGUAGUGGCCUACCAAGGCGACGACGGGUAGCCGGCCUGAGAGGGUGACCGGCCACACUGGGACUGAGACACGGCCCAGACUCCUACGGGAGGCAGCAGUGGGGAAUAUUGCGCAAUGGGCGGAAGCCUGACGCAGCGACGCCGCGUGGGGGAUGACGGCCUUCGGGUUGUAAACCUCUUUCAGCAGGGACGAAGCGCAAGUGACGGUACCUGCAGAAGAAGCACCGGCCAACUACGUG